rnacentral:rRNA from 1 species
AGAGCUUGCUCUCGGGUGACGAGUGGCGGACGGGUGAGUAAUGUCUGGGAAACUGCCUGAUGGAGGGGGAUAACUACUGGAAACGGUAGCUAAUACCGCAUAACGUCGCAAGACCAAAGAGGGGGACCUUCGGGCCUCUUGCCAUCAGAUGUGCCCAGAUGGGAUUAGCUAGUAGGUGGGGUAACGGCUCACCUAGGCGACGAUCCCUAGCUGGUCUGAGAGGAUAACCAGCCACACUGGAACUGAGACACGGUCCAGACUCCUACGGGAGACAGCAGUGGGGAAUAUUGCACAAUGGGCGCAAGCCUGAUGCAGCCAUGCCGCGUGUAUGAAGAAGGCCUUCGGGUUGUAAAGUACUUUCAGCGGGGAGGAAGGCGAUAAGGUUAAUAACCUUGUCGAUUGACGUUACCCGCAGAAGAAGCACCGGCUAACUCCGUGCCGGCAGCCGCGGUAAUACGGAGGGUGCAAGCGUUAAUCGGAAUUACUGGGCGUAAAGCGCACGCAGGCGGUCUGUCAAGUCGGAUGUGAAAUCCCCGGGCUCAACCUGGGAACUGCAUUCGAAACCGGCAGGCUGGA